AAUGAACGUUGGCGGCGUGGAUUAGGCAUGCAAGUCGAGCGGGUGUAGCAAUACACCAGCGGCGAAAGGGAGAGUAAUACGUGGAUACCUACCCUCGGGCCUGGGAUAGCUUCGGGAAACUGAAGGUAAUACCAGAUAACGUCCCCGGACCAAAGGUGUGAUUACGUCCGAGGAGGGGUCCGCGGCCUAUUAGCUAGUUGGUGAGGUAACGGCCCACCAAGGCGAAGAUGGGUACGAGGCGUGAGAGCGUGUCCUCGCUCACUGGGACUGAGACACUGCCCAGACACCUGCGGGUGGCUGCAGUCGAGAAUCUGCGGCAAUGGGCGCAAGCCUGACCGAGCGACGCCGCGUGCGGGAUGAAGGCCUUCGGGUUGUAAACCGCUGUCAGUAGGGAGGAAUGGUUUGGGGGUUCUCCCCCAGAUUUGACCUAUCUGCAGAGGAAGGACGGGCUAAGUUCGUGCCAGCCGCCGCCGUAA
rnacentral:rRNA from 1 species